GACGCUGGUGAGAUCAAGAGGCGAAAGAAGGCGAAGUGGAAGGCGAUGCGUGAGGCCGGCUUAUUCACAGAG
rnacentral:SRP_RNA from 1 species